GGGGGUGAGGGGGGUGUAAAAAUGUAGAUUCCUAGGCUCCAUCCUCAUCUUCCUGAAUUGGAAUCUUUACAAAUGAGAAGGUGGAGUUCCCACUGUGGCGCAGUGGGUGAAGGACCUGGCAUUGCUGCAGCUGUGGCGUAGGUCCCAGCUGUGGCUCAUACUCUAUCCCUAGCCGAGGAACUUUCAGACACCUUGGGGGUGGCAGAAAAAGGGGGGAAAAAAGGAGACGGUGGAAUCUACAUUUUACACAAAGAGCCCAGGAGCAACUUACUGUGCUGUGGCUCUCCAGCUGUUUCUUACAGAGACACAAACACCAGGUCCCUGCUGUACGUGGAGAAACACGUCAGGUGUGGAGUCGAUGUGCUGCCAAAGCAGGAGAAGGUUUUGUGCCCUCAGGUGUACACGCAAGGUGCCCAUAAAUCCUUGGGUGCCUGUUCUGGGCCCCCUUCCUGGCUUCGCCUGACAGUGUUCCCGGAAAAGUCCAGGGCUUCCCACCUCACCUGUUUCUCUUCUCCCAAAUGUGAAUCGGGCACAUGGGGCACUGCCCACACAUGGAAGAAGAGUCAAGUCACAAGGAGAGAAGAGCUCAGUGGGCCCCACCUGCCACGGUACCUGGUCCCGCAUCUCCCCCUCUCCCACAGAGUCUCUCAUCUCCACCCCAGCAUCUGCACAAAAACCCCAAGAUCAGGACGCAGAAGGCUGGUCAACUAUCAAACCCAAGAAGGCUGACCACAGAUCUGGCCUUGACCCCUGAUCACCUUGUGCCUCCCACUUCACUCUGCAAGAGCCCCCGUCCCCCUCUCCGCCCCAACUUGUUUACCCUCAUUCCAUCUGUGGCCAAUCCCGUGGCCUUGGAUUGGAACCUGUUCCCUGAUUUGCGAAUCUCCAAGGAGAAACAUUUCUGGAAAGCAAAUUUCUGGAAAGCAAAGGGAAGGCCUUUGUCAGAACCGGAGCUGGGGUGAGACCACAGGGGACCUCCCAGGUCGAAGCGGCGACCUGGGAGGUUCCUCUGUCGCAGAUGGGGGGGUUCUUCCUCCCCCUCCCUACCCUGUCCCUGGAGGUCAGUCCCCAGCCUAGGCGCUCGGUUCCUCCGGACAGACUGUUGCUCCUGCGCCUCCCAGUGGGCACCUCGGGAACUGCAUCCCACGACCCUGGCUCCCUCCCGGCCCUCGCGCUGGACACCAAGACAAUUAAGAAGAAUGCCUGGCGCCGAGUAAUGUUCGGUGUAAGGUUGCUAUCAUUCCUGUGCCAGGAGCGAAUCUGCUUUUAGUAAGAGAAGAAACCGGAAUGAUAGUAAUAUCAACAGAGCGGACGGAGACAGUAACAUCUACUGCGGUGCUUGAAAUUCCCCCCAGUGUCACGUUCUGGGCCAGUGGAAGGACUGUUUCAUAGCCCGUGGCUGAAGUCAGAGGAAACUGUUCUUUCUGGAAGCGUCCCCUGGGUGUGUGCCCUCCCACCCACAUCACGCUGCCUUCCUCCAGUCUCAUGUGGCCCCUCCUUCGCCAAAGCCGUCUCGCUCGAAGCUCCUUGAGCGUCUUCAAUUCAUCAUCACCCAGUUGGUUGGAAGCAGAUCCCUGCCUAAUUGUUAUCUGGCAGCAGUUUAGCUUUCUACUGCGGCGCUGAUAAAAGUCACCAUCAGCGCCAGAGCCAGAUGCCGUGGGAGGGAUUUCAUUGCCGUGGAGAUGGAACCUGGGCUUGGCACUGUCCGCUCAGCUGCUGGGUGUUCCUGGGUGUUCCCGGGGUUGACUCCCAGCCCAGCACGCAGCAGGAGGCCUUCCUGAGACCCCAAGGCUUUGCUUCCCCAACUGGAUCCAGACCACAACUUCUGCGGGCCAGCUGUUGACCCUCGGUACUUCCUCUGUGCUGCUAAAACCUGCAGCCCGGGAGCCCACAGCCAAGCCUGCGGGAGCCGACCUCUGGCCUCCUUGGAUCCCAGCCGCACCCCAGAGCCCCAGAGAGGAGUGACUCAGGUUGGACACGGUGGCUCCAAAUGACCUCAAGUGACUCACAGCAAACAGGAUGAAGGGUCUAGCCACAGAGACUGGAUCUAGUUCCCUGUGCUGUGCGGUACCGGAGGACCUGAUCGCUGAUCCAUUCCAAAUGUAGCAGUUUACAACUCCUACAAACUGCCGUCCAUCCCACUGGCUGCCCUCUCAACAUAAUAUUGUCGGGAGAAUUUCAUUUUAUGGGUGUGCCAUAACCGAUUUAACCAACUGGAGUCCAUUAAUGCUGUUUCUUAUUUUUAAAUGCAGAAAUGACUCCUCAAUGUGUACCCUGGUAGCUAAAUGCUGGCAGCCAUCUGCAGGUGUUCCCUGUCUGUUAAAGCAUCUGAUAUGUACCAUCAGAUUGCCCUCAAAUACUGUAUGAAUUAUAUUCAUGCUGGAGUUACUCAUCUCCCCACAAACUCAUCACCCAUAAAAAACAAACCAAAACAAACCCUUCCCGGUCACCAUGUUUAAAAGCUGAGCUUGACAUUAAAGCAUCAGGUGGGCAGAACCUCACCCCAUCCUGCUCCAUUGCCUCCACCUGCUUCACCUGCCAGGUCCUCUGUGGUUGGAGUUGGGGUGGAGCUUUCAGACUCACUGCUCAGUCUCCGGAAGUGAGAUGUGGAUGAAUGUUUGGUGCACAGCAAAGGAAACCAUGAAAAAAAAAAAAAAAAAAGAGAGACAACUUAACAGAAUGAGAGAAAAUAGUUUCAAAUGAUGCAACAGACAAGGGCUUAAUCUCUAAAAUAUACAAACAACUUAUACAACUCAAUAGCAAAAAAGUCAACAACCCAAUUGAAAAAUGGGCAAAAGACCUGAAUAGACAUUUCUCCAAAGAAGAUAUACAGAUGGCCAACAAGCACAUGAAAAAAUGCUCAACAUCAGUGAUUAUUAGAGACAUGCAAAUCAAAACUACUAUGAGGUACCACCUCACACCAGUCAGAAUGGCCAUCAAUAAUAAGACCACAAAUAACAAAUGCUGGAGAGGACGUGGAGAAAAGAGAGACCUCCUGCACUGUUGGAGGGAAUGUAAAUUGGUACAACCACAAUGGAAAAUGGUAUGGAGGCACCUCAGAAAACUAAAUAUAGAACUACCAUAUGAGCCAGCAAUCCUACUCCUGGGCAUAUAUCUGGAGGAAACUUUCAUUGAAAAAAUACAUGCACCCUAUGUUCAUAGCAAUACUAUUCACAAUAGCCAAGACAUGGAAACAACCUAGUUGUCCAUUGACAGAUGAAUGGAUUAAGAAGAUGUGGUACAUAUACACAGUGGAAUACUACUCAGCCAUAAAAAGGGACAAAAUAAUGCCAUUUGCAGCAGCAUGGAUGGAACCAGACUCUCAUACUGAGUGAAGUUAGAAAGUGGAUUAGUGUUAGGUUGUGUUUUGUUCUAAUAUAGAGGGAAGUACCCAAGAGUCACUUUGAUCACAUGUAUAGGAGGGUAAGUCACCUCUGAAAGACUGAAGGGGGUGCAGGGAGGCUCUGGUGGGCCCUGGAGUCUAUCCGGGCUGCCCCCUUAGGAAGGUGGGUGGGUGACUCAUUGCCAUGGAAAUGAUAUUCUCAGACCUGCUGCGUCUGAUAGAGGUGGGGCUCCCGUCUGGGGUGGUGGACGCCCAAGCCCAUCCUUACCCACCUUCUGGGGCUGGGCUGUGCCUGGGACCUGGGAGAAGCAAGGCUGCGAGUGGGCAUCUUGCCGGGGCCCAGGGUAGAGAUGGAUGAGAUGGCCCGGCCUCUCCUGGGCACUGCCCUGCCUGCCUGAUUGCUGCUGCAUGACUCACCCUCAUGAUUCUCCUGUGACAGCAGCAGCACCUGUUCCCUGUGGUGGGCUGGGGUGAGCCGCUUGCCCAUCAGACACUGCGCCCUUAGGGGUUGGAGGCUGCCUUACAAGGACUCCCUCUGUCCUCUGGAACGGACAGUCUUGAUGCUCAUACCAUUUUAAUAUAUUCAGGCUGAUUGCUUUUUUCUAACCCUUCCCCCUCUCGAAACAAAACAUGGUUGUUUUUUUUUUUUUUUUCAUUGAAGUAGAUCAAAAUUCAUUUUAUUACAGACUUGGUUCUGACUGGAGGCAGUUAAGGUAUCAGGAGACUGUGAUGGAGAAUGGAAGCCUUUCAAUCUGGGAAGGACCAUUCUGACCUCAUCGAUGUCAGAGCAGUUUUUUGAAAGAAUUGAAUUCCCCUGCAAAUGCUCUCAUCUAACUCUCACAUCCCCAGGAGUUAGGUGCUAUUGUGCCCACCCUCCAGAUGGAAACACUGAGUCUCAGAGAGGUGAGCUGACUUACCUGCGGCCACACCACUGACGCAUGUCCUGAUUCAGCGGCCCCCGAGGUCUGUCCUUCUCUCUCAUCGUAUUGCCCUUGGAAGUACAGCCAGCCCCAGGGAGCCACAGAGCACCACUGGCCCAGGAGUCAGGAAACCAUUGUCACGAAUGGGCUAUAUGGCCGAGGGUACCUCACUGCACCUCUCUGGAUCUCAGAAUCCUCAUUGUAAACUGGCGAGUGUUGAUCAAACAAUCUCGGAGAUUCCUUUUAAGCGCAGGGCCUUAGUUCAGGCUUGUUUGGUGGUAAGAAAGCCACUCUACUUAAACAAAAAUGGGCACCGCCAUCCAAUGGUCCAGAGACUCUCAUAGAGCCAAGGGGCCAGCACCAGACCCGCAGGGCUGGGCCAGACAGUGGCUCUUGCAGCCCCUUCUGCAGAACUGCACGAGUCUCCACUUCUCUCAGCUCCUCUAUUUCAUCCUUCUCUUUCUGCAAAAGAGCCUUCUUUCUCUAUAGAUCAGCUUUCUCUGCUCCUCUGGCCAAUGGUGGCAGAUGCCUCUCCAGUUUCUAAUUAUAAGUCCUCAGUUUGGGGGCCAACGGAGUCUCACCAAAUUCCAAUUUCCAAUUCCCGGGGAGAGAAAUCCGACUGGGCAAGCUGAGCUGGCUAAUCCACCUUGCUCGGAUCCCCUGGCUCCUGUAGCACAGAGAGGUGGGUGACCAUUUCCCAGAUGGGGGGAAUGUCCCCAGGAGACUCUGUACACAGGACAGGAAGAGCAUCUUUGGGAGACAAGACAUGGGUACACAUAAUCUUUACUGGAAUAGGUGACAUUGAGACCUCCUGAAAAAGCGCAAGCUCACCAGCAAAGAGUCAGUGUCAGCAGGACAUGGCAGGCUGUGGCUCCCCUCGGGAGGUCCCUUCCCGAGGGCCGACUUGACAGCUGUGUGCCCGCCGGGCAGACCUGUCUCCCAACACACAGUGUUGUCCUUCUGUUGCCUCUGAGCUGGAUGACAUAGCACUGGGACAGGUGGGAGCUUGGGAAGGGUCAAGGGAUGGGAAGGACCACUGCCACCAGUCCAGGGGGCUGGAUUAGCACUGCACCAUCAUUUGCACACGGAAGACUCAGUGCUUCAGCUGAUCCUGGCAGCUCUGUUUCCCUGAUGACCGUAUCUUAGUUUUUAAACCUGGCAUAUGUACUAUCUAUUGCUGCAUAAAAAUUUUUUUCUUAAAAUCCAGCAACUUAGAGCGACAAGCAUUUAUUAUUUCACAGUUUGUGCAGGUCAGGUGUUUGGGAAAAGCUUAACUAAGUUCUGGUUCAGGGUCUUCUCAUGAGGUUGGCCGGGGCUGCAUCAGCUCAGAGCUCAAUGGGGGCUGGAAGAUGACUCCUCACGUGACUCUUGGCAGGAGGCUUCCAUUCCUUGCCAUGUGGCCUUUUCCACAGGACCACUCGGGUGCCCUCACCAUGUGACAGCAAGCUUCCCACCGAAUGAGUAUCCAAGACAGAGCAAGACGGAAGCCGCAUGUCCUUCGUGACUUAAGUCUCCAAAGUACCACGCCAUCUUUUCUGUCACAGUCUAUUCAAGAAGCAAUCCCUAAGUCUGCCCUCACUCAAGAGGAGAGGACUUAGGUUCCUCUUGAAAGAGCAUCGGAGAGUUUGUGGGCCGAUUGUAAAAGCAGCACAGCAAAGGCAUUCCCAUCGUGGUGCAGGGGAAAUGAAUCCAACUAGGAGCCAUGAGGUUGUAGGUUCGAUCCCUGGCCUCACUCAGGGGGUUAAGGAUCCAGAAUUACCGUGAUCUGUGGUGUAGGUCGCAGACACGGCUUGGAUCUGGAGUUGCUGUGACUGUGGCACAGGCCAGCAGCAGUAGCUCCAAUUAGAUCUCUAGCCUGGGAAUCCCCAUAUGCCAUAGGAGCAGCCUUUAAAAAAAAAAAAAAAAAAAAAAACAGCGCAGCAAAGAACCAAACGAUGCAGUUUCCCAAGUGUUUGGAGGUUUGGUCGUCAAAGGACCAGGGUGCCCCCUUUAGCAGGCAAAGUAAUGGGCCUCCAAAGAUAUCUGCCAGAUGUCCAGAUGUUCUGGAGUUUCUUUUUUUUUUUUUUUUUUUUUUUUGGUCUUUUUGUCUUUUGUCUUUUUUGUUGUUGUUGUUGCUAUUUCUUGGGCCGCUCCCGCGGCAUAUGGAGGUUCCCAGGCUAGGGGUUGAAUCGGAGCUGUAGCCACCGGCCUACGCCAGAGCCACAGCAACGCGGGAUCCGAGCCGCGUCUGCAACCUACACCAUAGCUCACGGCAACGCCGGAUCGUUAACCCACUGAGCAAGGGCAGGGACCGAACCCGCAACCUCCUGGUUCCUAGUCGGAUUCGUUAACCACUGCGCCACGACGGGAACUCCUGGAGUUUCCAUCAUAGCACAAUGGGUUACGAAUCUGACUGCAGAGCCACAAGUUCAAUUCUGCCCAGCGCAGUGGGUUAUAGGAUCCAGCAUGCCUGCAGCUGUGGCAUAGGUCGCAGCUGUGGCCUGGAUGCAAUUCCUGGCCCAGGAAUUUCCAUAUGCCAUCGGUGCAGCCGUAAAACAAACAAAAACAAAACCAAAAAUCAUCACUAUUAAAAAAAAUAAGAAGACAUCUAUAUUCUAAUCCCCAGAACCUUCAAAUAUGUUAUGUUACACGGCAAAGGAGAAGUAAGUUUGAUCAUCAGGUGACCUUAAACUAAGGAGAGACUAGCAGGAGGCCAAAGAAGAAUCAGAGGUGCAGAGAGAGAGAGACUUGACUGCCUGUUGCUGGCUUUGAAGAUGGGAAGAGGCGAUGAGCCAGGGAAUGCAGGCUCCCUCUAAAUCUGCAAAAGGUGAUGAAACAGAUUCUCCCCUGCGUCUCCAGAAGAAAUGCAGGCCUGCCAACACCUGGAGUGUAGCCCACUGAGACCCAUUUUGGACCAGUUUUGUAUUGCCUUAAGCCAUUAAGAAACUAAGUAGUGGGAGUUCCUGUCCUGGCUCAGCGGUUAACAAAGCAGACUAGGAUCCAGGAGGAUGCGGGUUCGAUCCCUGGCCUUACUCAGUGGGUUAAGGAUCUGGCGUUGCCGUGAGCUGUGGUGUAGGUUGCAGAUGUAGCUCAGAUCCUGUAUUGCUAUGGCUGUGGCGUAGGCCGGCGGCUGUAGCUCUGUUUCAACCCCUAGCCUAGGAACUUCCAUAUGCCACUGAUGCAGCCCUAAAAAGACAAAAAAAAAAAAAAAAAA
ensembl:lncRNA